GGAGAGCAGAGAGGAGAGGAGGGACGGCUGCUCCAGUGUGGGGAGUGGAAGAAAACCGGGAGCAGCCUGAGCAGCAGGUCCGGGGGUAGACGCUCAGCUCCACUGCCUUCCUCACUCAGGCAGACGCUGCUGAGCUCCCCCGGGUUGUUUCCCAGUCCCGCUGGGCGGAGGCUGCCGUCUAGACCUGACUCCAGAAUUUAAAAUGCAAUGGCCAGAAGACAGGGAAGUGUUACUAGAAGAAUGUGGACAUGGACUCCAGGACUGCUGAUAAUGACUGUGAUCUUUUGGAGUCAGCAGGGGAAUGGACAAGGCCAAGGUGACAGCAUUAUCCCAAGACACCUUAUUUAGCUGGAGCAAAAGCUCAUGAGAUCUGCUGCCUGUAUUGUUAAGCUUUUUGUGCGUGUUUGGAAAUAGACUGCCCUAAUGGCACUGGAAAGCCAUUUAAAAUGACUCAUUUUAGUUUCCUGUGAGUAAUUUUUAUGUCAACCAUAAUUACUUUGCACUUAACAUUUUAAUCUGGG
rnacentral:lncRNA from 1 species